rnacentral:tRNA from 2 species
GCCCGGAUGGCGGAAUUGGUAGACGCGCACGACUCAAAAUCGUGUUCCUUCGGGAGUGAGAGUUCGAUUCUCUCUCUGGGCACCA